CACAGACCUGCUAGGUUUCUCGUCAGCGGCUCUACACAUUCUCCUCCAAAUCUCAGUCCUCUUCCAUCAAAGAGAAAUCUAAAGAAGAGACAAAAUUCACUAAGUAGACAAGCACGUUGAGGGAGACGAGAAGACGAUAGCUAGCGAUCAAAGUUAGGAAGAAAGGGAGGAGACGGAAAGUAUUGCAAGGGAGACAAAAAUCAAGUGGGGCAAAGCAACGAGUGGUUGUAACUUGCAAGUGGGGCGACAGGCGGCAGAGUGACAGAGAUAGAAGAGAGAACUUUUUGGUUCUGAGCUUCCCCACGCCACUUGUCACCGCGUAAUUGGAUUCAAAAUUCCAGUGGGGUCCACGCGGCUUCAGGCCCACUCUAUAAAUAAGCUCCGCAAGAGACGCCCUAAUUUCACCGUUUCAGUAUCAGACAUCACAGAUUCUUCUAUAAAGCUUCCUCUCUCUCGCUCUCCAUUUCUUCAAUCCAUCUUCAAUGGCGAUCUCCGGCCCUUCCAAGAUGUUCGCCGUGCUAUUCCUCGCCGUCGCUGCGAUCCUCUUCGCCGUCGCCUCCGCACAGGAAUCACCGGCGCCGGCUCCGGCUCCGCAGCUCGACAGAGGAGCGGCGGCUCUGCCUGCCGCCGCCUCCAUGGCUCUGCUCUGCGCUUCCUUCUUCCUCUCUCUCCCUGCCAUUUUGAAGCCCUAAAUCGCCGUCCAUCGUUUCGCUCUCGAAUGAUUCUCUACACACAGAGAUAUAUAUAUACUCGUGGAAUUUCUCACGUUUUUAUUUAGAUAUUGAUCUUUAAUUUAUUUGAUAGAAAAAUAAAAGGAGAUGCUAUAAUCUCUAUCUUUAGGUUUAUUUGUUCAUGAUUAGUCUGUAACUUUUUGUGAAAAGUAUUUGUUGUAUGAUUUAUCAUCAUUAUCAUUAUUAUUAUUAGUGUGAUUUUAUGAA